rnacentral:rRNA from 1 species
UAGCUGGUUAAUAUUCCAGCACCUCGCGUAAGUGCGAUGGAGGGACGGAGAAGGUUAGGCAGACCGGGCGUUGGUUGUCUCGGUGAGAGGACUGAGGUGGUGCCCUUAGGCAAAUCCGGGGGUGCAACAUUGAGGUCAAGGACGAGCCCAAUUGGGCAGAGCUGCUGAUAUCACGCUUCCAGGAAAAGCUCCUAAGCUUCAGCUUACGCAGACCGUACCGUAAACCGACACAGGUGGACAGGAUGAGAAUUCUCAGGCGCUUGAGAGAACUCGGGUGAAGGAGCUAGGCAAAAUAGCACCGUAACUUCGGGAGAAGGUGCGCCUCGCAUGGUUAAUAGCUGAGCGAGGCCGAAGUAACCAGGCCGCUGCGACUGUUUAUCAAAAACACAGCACUCUGCAAACACGAAAGUGGACGUAUAGGGUGUGACGCCUGCCCGGUGCUGGAAGGUUAAUUGAUGGGGUCAGCCGCAAGGCGAAGCUCUUGAUCGAAGCCCCAGUAAACGGCGGCCGUAACUAUAACGGUCCUAAGGUAGCGAAAUUCCUUGUCGGGUAAGUUCCGACCUGCACGAAUGGCGUAACGAUGGCGGCACUGUCUCCACCCGAGACUCAGUGAAAUUGAAAUCGCUGUGAAGAUGCAGCGUUCCCGUGGCAAGACGGAAAGACCCCGUGAACCUUUACUAUAGCUUUACACUGAACGUUGAGUUCGUCUGUGUAGGAUAGGUGGGAGGCUGUGAAGUGUCGGCGCUAGCUGGCAUGGAGCCAUCCUUGAAAUACCACCCUGAUGUGCUUGACGUUCUAACUUAGGUCCGUAAUCCGGAUCGAGGACCGUGUAUGGUGGGUAGUUUGACUGGGGCGGUCUCCUCCCAAAGUGUAACGGAGGAGCUCGAAGGUACGCUCAGCGCGGUCGGACAUCGCGCACUGUGUGCAAAGGCAUAAGCGUGCUUGACUGCAAGAUCGACGGAUCAAGCAGGUAGGAAACUAGGACUUAGUGAUCCGGUGGUUCUGUAUGGAAGGGCCAUCGCUCAACGGAUAAAAGGUACUCCGGGGAUAACAGGCUGAUACCGCCCAAGAGUUCAUAUCGACGGCGGUGUUUGGCACCUCGAUGUCGGCUCAUCACAUCCUGGGGCUGUAGUCGGUCCCAAGGGUAUGGCUGUUCGCCAUUUAAAGUGGUACGCGAGCUGGGUUCAGAACGUCGUGAGACAGUUCGGUCCCUAUCUGUCAUGGGCGUUGGAGAUUUGAGAGGGGCUGCUCCUAGUACGAGAGGACCGGAGUGGACGAACCUCUGGUGUUCCGGUUGUCACGCCAGUGGCACUGCCGGGUAGCUAUGUUCGGAAGCGAUAACCGCUGAAAGCAUCUAAGCGGGAAGCGCGCCUCAAGAUGAGAUCUCCCGGGGCACAAGCCCCCUGAAGGAACCAUCAAGACCAGGUGGUUGAUAGGCAGGGUGUGUAAGCGCAGUAAUGCGUUGAGCUUACCUGUACUAAUGAUCCGUGUGGCUUGACCU